GCCCUUCUAUAGUUCACGAGCAUGAGGAUUGGGUGAUCACGGGCACAUGUGAGAUGUGCCACCCUCUGAACCUUGUCACAACAUCGGCACAUUACCCAUCUGACC
ensembl:snoRNA